rnacentral:lncRNA from 1 species
GUUGUAAAUCUUGUAAAUCACUUUUACCAUAUUUUCACACAAUUUAUACAUAUUUAUGUUCAUCAUUUAUACAUGUAGAUACUUUCAUAUCACAUCUGUCACCCUAAAUUAUUCCAGUUUGGUGCUGUGUAUUUAGAGAUACGAUCUAUCAUUAUUGUAUAUAUACUUUAAAACUAUCUGUAAAAUGCAUCCAUCUUGAAUUGCAUAGUGUCAUAUAUAUGUCUCAUGGGUUAAAAUAAUUGAAAUCCACUUAACAUUUUGUGUGGUGGUCAUAUAUACUUGACCAUUUUAUCAAGAACAUAUUGUAUUUAGUAUGUAUGAUAGUUCUUGGCAUUCAACAAUAUUAAUUUUUUAAAUGCUAAAGCUGUUUUAUGUUAAUAAAGUUAAAACUAUGAAUGUAAGUGUAACCCAAACAAGAGAUAUUUAACAAACUUUUGGGCUGAACUUUCUCCAAUCUUGUGUUACAGAUGUCUUAAAAUAAUCAAAUUUAAAUUUAAUAUUUAGAUAAAUUGCUCAGAUAGAACAAUUACAAAUUAUGUUAUUGAAAUAUGGCUUAUUUUAUAUAACAAGAGGUCAAAAGAUGAACCUUUCUUAAAAAAAUUAAGUUCACUAAUUCUUUUUUGCCAUAUAUCUUUGUUAAUAUUAUUUCUUGAAAAAAAAAAAAUGAAUAUUUUAUUCACUUUCACAGUAGAAUAGUAUAUUCCAGAUAACUACUAUAUUAUUUACAACCAAUAAAAAUUUGGUUUGAAUAAUAAUUCCACAGCCUCUGUCAAAUAAAACAGAAUAAAGAAAUGAUUAAAAAUAAAUGAUUGAUUUUGGCACAUACUGGAUAUUUAUCGUAUUAUAUACAUACAUGUAAUUAUAAGAAAAGGACAAAUGUGUUUAGAACCCUUAAACAAAAUGUGCCCUUUUGUCACAUAUUUACUCUUUAGUUAAGUAAGGUAAUAUAGUUUUUGCAAAUAAGUUUAUACAGUUAUAAGGGUACUACUAAAAAAAAACAGUAAGCGAUUGUAAGUUUAAUUUUAAAUAGACAUAUUUGAUAUAAGAACAGGGAUGCAAAAACAAUGUUGUUAUCAGAGAUAUUUUUCUCUCUUUUUUUUGUAUCAAUAGGAUGUGCUUGUACAUAUACUUUUUGUUUCAGUAACCAUCAAACUUAAAAUUCAACAGAAGGUUAAAUUGAAUAUUCAACAGAAGGUUAAAUUGAAUAUUCAACAGAAGGUUAAAUUGAAUAUUCAACAGAAGAUAAAUUGAAUAUUCAACAGAAGAUAAAAUUGAAUAUUCAACAGAAGAUAAAAUUGAAUAUUCAACAGAAGGUUAAAUUGAAUAUUCAACAGAAGAUAAAUUGAAUAUUCAACAGAAGAUAAAAUUGAAUAUUCAACAGAAGAUUAAAUUGAAUAUUCAACAAGAUUAAUAUGAAUAUAUUUUUAAAGGUAAAUCAUAAUAUUCGAACUUGUUUAUAAUACUGGUCUAUAUUGAAUGACAUGAAUACAUACAUUUUGUUUAAGUAGUGGUUUGCAUAGCUAUAAGGGCAUAUUUUCAUAUAAGGUUUCAAACAUGUUAUUUUUGUUUUACUGUCAUGUGUUUAGAAAUUGGUAUCAUUUUAUGUGCAAUCAGUGGAUUACUAUCAUGUGAGCAUACAGAAAUAAAAUGUUCAACAUAUUCUUAUUUGUGUUAUUAAUAAUAUAUUAUGGCCCUUUAAAAAGGUGAAUAUCCAAAAUUGUCAACACGAGAAGGUUAUUUCAUUGAGGGCACAGCCCGAAGUGAAAUAACUUUUAAGGGUUGACAAUUUUGGAUAUUCAUCGAUUCUAAGGGGCCACAAUUGUUUUAUUAUACCGAACUAACAGCAGAAGAGCCUUUUGAACACUUACUAACUAAUAUAUUCUUUA